GCCCAGAAGCACAGAAGAAUGAGUCUCCACGUGCUCAAAUGGACUCUGGGGAUGAGUGAUUCACUAGAACAUUAAGGUCAAUGACAGACACUUCAGAAAAGGCAAUCCAUCGUCUACAACCCAGCGACAAAAGUUACCAAGUUCCGCUGCUCUGGAAAGUAUGGCUCCUACUUUAAGUGCCAAGAAUUCAUCUGGUCCGUGAAGAUUCAAAAACCACAGCAAGAUGACUCCAACUGUGGGACAGAAUGUAAGACUGCUGGUCACGUGGCCACAGCGUCCAUGCAGGUUUCCAGCUUCCAGAGAAGCCAGUGGCCCUCCCUAAGGUCACAAUUCAGAGUCUGAGGCUCACCCAAACAACAUUUAACAGGGGAUGUUACCAAAUGUUACAAGAUGUGCCAUUUGUAUUAAAACGAAUACUACUUUGGUUCUGCAUUUCCAUCUCUUCAGUAAGUUGAGAACCUUCUGUGUGCUCCUCUAUUGCUUCUGCCUCACAUAGUCUUCAAUCCUGCCCCUCCCAAUCCAGCAGCCACACAAAGUACCA